rfam:TPA: Bos taurus chromosome 15, whole genome shotgun sequence.
UCCCUGGUAGCCCAGUGGCUAAGACUCCACACUUCCAAUGCAGGGGGCUCAGGUUCAAUCCCUGAUCAGGGAA